UACGAAGGUGGCAAGCGUUACUCGGAAUUACUAGGCGUAAAGGGCAGGUAGGUGGUUUGAUAAGUCUGUUGUGAAAGCUCCCGGCUUAACUGGGAGAGGUCAACAGAAACUAUCAGGCUUGAGUAUAGGAGAGGGUACUGGAAUUCCCGGUGUAGCGGUGAAAUGCGCAGAGAUCGGGAGGAACACCUAUGGCGAAAGCAGGUACCUGGACUAUUACUGACACUCAGCUGCGAAAGCUAGGGGAGCAAACAGG
rnacentral:rRNA from 1 species